rnacentral:lncRNA from 1 species
AUAUGUUUUUUUUAUUAAAAAUUUAUUUGAGUUAGAAUUUGAUAAAAUUUAUUUACCUAGGUCUCACAAAAACCUUGAUUUCUUUGGCCCCUAUGCUUUUUAAUUUGGGCUUCUAAAAGUUUACAGUCUUUACUCCUCGUGCAAUCAUUUUGAUAUUGAGCAAGACACAAAAAAAGGAAAAACAGUGACAUGAGAAGAGGAAACUGUGACACAAGAGAGAAUGUCGGAAGAGGAUUAGACUGCUUUCUCAAAACAACAACCAUCAUUUUUUAAUUUGCCAAAAUAAUAAAUUUAUUUGUAAAAAGAUCCUUCAUAUAAUGUACAACACAUUGGAAUAUGGUUGGUGUAGGACUCUUUGUUGAAAAACUAUCGUGGAAACCUCUUCAAAAAAAUGGAUGAGUUGCCCGAGUAAGAAAUUAAACCUUCCAACAAGAUAGUGCAUCGGCCCACAAGACCAAAAAAGUACAGGAUGUCUUGGCCACUAAUCAUUUCAUUUGGCCGGCAAACAGACCAGACCUGAACCCAUCAAAAUUAUAUCUAUGUGAGAGAUGUGCAUUUGAGGCCUGUGUCAAGUAUUAUUCGUCUGAGGGGGCUCUAAUUAUCAUUCAUUUCAUUUAUGUAUCAAAUUAUAUCAUUAUCCGGCCAAAAAAGUACACCAAUUAACCAUAAAGAUGAAAAUAUUUUUUUGAAGGGACUUUUUUUUUAGCUUAUCUUCAUAAUUUAUCCCUUAUUAAUAACAAACUAAUUUUACAUAUUGAAAAUUUAACAUAACCUCAUGGAAACUCCAGAAACAGAUCCAAAAUUUUCUGAAAAUAAGUUAAAUGACUUUUAAUGAAAAGUAGG